rnacentral:tRNA from 1 species
GGGGGUGGCUUAGCUGUAGAGCGCUCACCUGGCAUGUGCGAGGCCCUGGGUUCGAUCCUCAGUAUCACA